rnacentral:rRNA from 1 species
AGAGUUGAUCCUGGCUCAGGAUGAACGCUGGCGGCAGGCUUAAUACAUGCAAGUCGAACGGUAAGGCCGAGUGCAGCAAUGCAUGAGGUACACGAGUGGCGCACGGGUGCGUAACGCGUAUGCAACCUGCCCCCAACCGGGACAAAACAGCUGGAAACGGCUGCUAAUAUCCCAUAGCCACGGCGGGAGGGCAUCCCUCCUGGUGUGUAAAGAUUCAUUGGUUGGGGAUGGGCAUGCGUAUUAUUAGGUAGUUGGCGGGGUAACGGCCCACCAAGCCGACGAUGAUUAGGGGUCCUGAGAGGGUUAACCCCCACACUGGAACUGAGACACGGUCCAGACUCCUACGGGAGGCAGCAGUAGGGAAUAUUGGGCAAUGGGAGCAAUCCUGACCCAGCCAAUGCCGCGUGAAGGAAGACGGCCCUAUGGGUUGUAAACUUCUUUUGCCGCAGAGUAAACCCGGGGACGUGUCCCCGGUUGAGAGUAUGCGGCGAAUAAGUAUCGGCUAACUCCGUGCCAGCCGCCGC